GACGAACGCUGGCGGCGUGCUUAACACAUGCAAGUCGAACGGAAAGGCCCUGCUUUUGUGGGGUGCUCGAGUGGCGAACGGGUGAGUAACACGUGAGUAUCCUCCCCUUGACUUUGGGAUAACUUCAGGAAACUGGGGCUAAUAUCGGAUAUGAGCUCCUGCUGCAUGUUGUGGGUUGGAAAGUUUCGGCGGUUGGGGCUGGACUCGCGGCUUAUCAGCUUGUUGGUGGGGUAGUGGCUUACCAAGGCUUUGACGGGUAGCCGGCCUGAGAGGGUGACCGGGCACAUGGGGACUGAGAGAGGGACCAGAAGGGUAUGGGAGGCAGCAGGGGGGAAUAUGGCACAAUGGGCGGAAGCCAGAUGCAGAAGCGCCGCGUGCGGGAUGACGGGCUUCGGGGGGUAAACAGAUGUCGAAUGAGACGAAGAGGGAGUGACGGUAAUGGGUAAAGAAGCACCGGCUAACUACGUG
rnacentral:rRNA from 1 species